rnacentral:rRNA from 1 species
GACGAACCGUGCGAACGUUAUUCGGAAUCACUGGGCUUAAAGAGCGCGUAGGCGGAUUGCUACGUCGGUGUCUGAAAUCCCCCGGCUCAACCGGGGAAGUGGAUCCGAUACGGGCAGUCUUGAGGGACGUAGGGGGGGCUGGAACUUCCGGUGGAGCGGUGAAAUGCGUUGAGAUCGGAAGGAACGCCCGUGGCGAAAGCGAGCCCCUGGACGUCUGCUGACGCUGAGGCGCGAAAGCUAGGGGAGCGAACGGG